UGGAAACAUAUGACCUGCUCAAAAGUACAAGAGAUUUUGCGUGACUAAAAAUGGUAUGGGAGGGGCAUCCCGGAGAAAGAAGAUGCAAAGUUGAGCUGUCAGCAGCCUUCAAGCACCUCAAAUUCCAGGACAACCAGAGGUCUUUCCUUAAGCAAGAAGCAGUUCUUGAAACAUGUGAAGAAACCAAGAUGCCUUUCAUUAAUUCUUCCAACUAAAUUAAUGGAGUCACUGUAUCUUGAAGACCAUUAGCAGAGCAGAAACAAGAGUUUUGGCUGGAAAAAAGUGCCUUUCACCUCCCACAAUGAUCCUGAGGUCUCCCCAGCCAUGUGAAAAUGCUUCAUCACUGGUGUGUACCUCUCAGGAGAGAGCUUCAUUGUACAGAUGAGAACCAAAUCCUCAACUCAGCAUUAUCUGCUUGAUGGUUGGAAGACUCUUUCAGACAAGCAUCCGGCUCUGGCUACUUCAAACAGUGUUUCCUUUACACUACUCACCUGCUUGCAGUGCUGACUGCUGAAGGAUUGUAAUCAUAUUGUGAUAGAAAUGUUGUACUGUAUCUUUGCGUAACAAUACUAGGUGGGUUCUUACUUUGGAGAAAGAAGUAUGCCUGGAAGCUAUUCCACACUAGGUCACAUUGCAAUAACUUAGUUAUACAUAUGACAGUGUCUAUGAGCCAUAUAAAUAAAUCUUACUACACCUAAACUAAAAAUGAUUUAACUUCCCAUUAACCAGAUUCCAAAAACGCCUACAAACUACUCCCGCGCCAUCUUACACGAGGGCAAACAUGGAACCUUAACCAAUUGUUAUCAAAAUAACUUACUUUUACAAAUUUACAAGACAUACAUGACCAUAUGAACACACUGCCAAGGCCUUGGAAGGGGUUCAUACAAGUGCAAGAACCUGAAGCUUCAGCUUCACUAGUUUCACCAGAAAUCCACCUCUGAGGGGAUAACUCUACAACAUUAAAUUCAGAUAUUUGAAAACAUAAUUGAUCGUUAAUAUGUUAACAUUGAAAUUCAACAUAGCCCUUUAAAUUGGGCUACUUUUGAUAGAAAAGGAGAAAAAAAUAGACACCUUCUGAAAUAGUAACAGCCCAUAGGCUGGAAUGAUGGGAUCUCCUGCCAAGAAGAAAAUUCCAGUUUUUCAGAGGCAAUAACAACCAGAUCUGACCUCUUAGAACGAGGACAGAUUUAUGGUUCUUGGAAUUAUAAUGGGAAGGGUGAUAUACCCUUGAUGGAUGAACUUUGGGCUUGGGGUAAUAUAGUUUGCAUAUUAAACAACAAGUGCUUUGUUUGGUACCCCAGUAGGUGAGGUGAAGUUUUUACUUUCUGUAAUUUAAACAUGUGGCAUUAUUUGUGAAAGAUCAUGAGUAGUAAUGGGUUGACUCAACAGUAGCCAACAUUUAG